GAUGAACGCUGGCGGCGUGCCUAAUACAUGCAAGUCGAGCGAACGGACGAGAAGCUUGCUUUUCUGAUGUUAGCGGCGGACGGGUGAGUAACACGUGGAUAACCUACCUAUAAGACUGGGAUAACUUCGGGAAACCGGAGCUAAUACCGGAUAAUAUUUUGAACCGCAUGGUUCAAAAGUGAAAGACGGUCUUGCUGUCACUUAUAGAUGGUUCCGCGCUGCAUUAGCUAGUUGGUAAGGUAACGGCUUACCAAGGCAACGAUGCAUAGCCGACCUGAGAGGGUGAUCGGCCACACUGGAACUGAGACACGGUCCAGACUCCUACGGGAGGCAGCAGUAGGGAAUAUUCCGCAAUGGGCGAAAGCCUGACGGAGCAACGCCGCGUGAGUGAUGAAGGUCUUCGGAUCGUAAAACUCUGUUAUUAGGGAAGAACAGAUGUGUAAGUAACUGUGCACAUCUUGACGGUACCUAAUCAGAAAGCCACGGCUAACUACGUG
rnacentral:rRNA from 1 species